rnacentral:rRNA from 1 species
AUGGUUGCGGCCCUUCGGGUGCAAGAUUGCCUCCCCUCCACGCGCGUUUCUUGCGUCUCCUCCGCGCCGAUCCGUCCCCGCGCACGCACCGCAGCAAACCAAAAAAGAGCCGCGAUUUUUCUCAGAAAAGAAUCCCCCUUCCUGUUCUUCGCCGGCCAAAAUCACCACUCACCCACCUUCUGUCGUCUCCGAGCUCUCGGAGUGCGUUGUCGCCGUCGCGUCGCUUGGGGAAGAGGAAUGGCGCGAGGCGUGGCGGCGGCGGUGUCGGCGUUGGGGGUCGUGGCGGUGCUCUUGACCGCCGCCGCGGCGAAGGUCUGCACGAACACGUUCCCGUCGUCGGAUUCGGUGGCGACCCACGCGGAGCGCGCCGCGGGGCAGCUGCGGCUGCCUGCCGGGCUCGCCGGCCGUGGCCACGGUCACGGGCACGCCCACGAGCAGCACCUCACCCCGACCGACGAGUCCGCCUGGAUGGAGCUCAUGCCGCGGAGGCUCCUAGGCGGCGGCGGCGGCGGCACCCCGCCACGCGUGGCGUUCGACUGGCUGAUGCUCUACCGCAAGCUCCGGGGCGGCGCUGCCGCCGUGGACGGCCCCGCGGGUCCGUUCCUCUGGGAGGCGUCGCUGCACGACGUGCGGCUCCAGCCGGGGACCCUGUACUGGCAGGCCCAGCAGACCAACCUGGAGUACCUGCUCCUCCUGGACACCGACCGCCUCGUCUGGAGCUUCCGCACGCAGGCCGGCCUGACGGCGACCGGGACGCCCUACGGCGGGUGGGAGGGGCCCAACGUCGAGCUCCGGGGACACUUCGUCGGGCACUACCUGAGCGCCACGGCCAAGAUGUGGGCGAGCACGCACAAUGACACCCUCCGUGCCAAGAUGUCGUCCGUCGUCGACGUGCUAAACGAUUGCCAGAAGAAGAUGGGCACAGGGUACCUGUCAGCCUUCCCAUCAGAGUUCUUCGACCGCACUGAAGCCCUCACUACUGUUUGGGCUCCUUACUACACAAUCCACAAGAUUAUGCAAGGUCUUCUUGAUCAGUAUACAGUGGCUGGAAACUCCAAGGCCCUUGAGAUGGUUGUGGGGAUGGCUAACUACUUCAGUGACCGGGUGAAGAAUGUCAUUCAGAAAUACAGCAUCGAGAGGCACUGGGCAUCGCUCAAUGAGGAGACUGGUGGCAUGAAUGAUGUGCUAUACCAGCUCUACACAAUAAUGGAUGAUCUGAAGCAUUUGACACUGGCCCACCUCUUUGACAAACCGUGCUUUCUCGGUCUGCUUGCAGUUCAGGCUGAUAGUAUUUCAGGUUUCCAUUCCAAUACGCAUAUUCCAGUUGUCAUUGGUGCCCAAAUGAGAUAUGAAGUCACCGGUGAUGCUCUUUACAAGCAAAUUGCAACAUCCUUUAUGGACAUGAUAAAUUCUUCUCAUAGCUAUGCAACUGGUGGGACAUCUGCCGGCGAAUUCUGGGCCGAUCCAAAGUGUUUAGCUGCGACUCUGAGUACUGAAAACGCGGAAUCUUGCACUACCUACAAUAUGCUCAAGGUUUCCCGCAACUUAUUCAGAUGGACAAAGGAAAUAGCAUAUGCGGACUAUUAUGAAAGGGCACUGAUAAAUGGUGUGUUAAGCAUCCAGAGAGGGACGGAUCCCGGAGUGAUGAUUUACAUGCUACCCCAGGCACCUGGACGGUCUAAAGCAGUAAGCUAUCAUGGUUGGGGAACCAAGUAUGAUUCGUUCUGGUGCUGUUAUGGAACAGGUAUAGAAUCCUUUUCGAAACUUGGCGAUUCUAUUUACUUUGAGGAGAAAGGAGACACACCAGCACUCAGCAUCAUUCAGUACAUACCAAGCACUUUCAACUGGAAAACAGCUGGGGUUACUGUUACCCAACAACUGGAGCCCCUCAGCUCCUCGGAUAUGAACUUUCGAGUUUCACUCUCUGUUUCCGGGAAGACAAAUGGUCAGUCUGCUACAUUGAAUGUGAGAAUACCAACAUGGACAUCUGCCAGUGGCGCAAAAGCAACUUUAAAUGACAAAGAUUUGGGAUCAGUAACUCCAGGCUCUUUACUCUCAGUCACCAAACAGUGGAGCUCAAACGAUCACCUAUCACUGCAAUUCCCAGUUGCCCUAAGGACCGAAGCAAUCAAAGAUGACCGGCCGGAGUAUGCAUCUCUUCAAGCAAUUCUAUUCGGGCCAUUCGUUCUUGCGGGUCUCUCCUCCGGUGAUUGGGAUGCAAAAACCGGCAGUGCAGUUUCGGACUGGAUCACUGCAGUACCUUCAUCACACAACUCACAGCUGAUGACCUUCACACAAGAAUCAAGUGGGAAGACAUUCGUCCUGUCAAGCUCAAACGGCUCCCUGACAAUGCAAGAACGGCCUGCAGUCGAUGGUACAGACACCGCCGUCCACGCGACAUUCAGGGUGCAUCCUCAGGACGCAGCAAGGCUGCACGGCACCUACGGCGCAGCCCUGAAAGACACCUCUGUGCAGAUCGAGCCAUUCGACAUGCCAGGAACGGUGAUCACCAAUGACCUCACCUUGUCCGCACAAAAGAGCGCCGGUUCCUUCUUCAACAUAGUACCCGGGCUCGACGGGAAGCCAAACUCGGUUUCGCUCGAGCUCGGGACCAAACCAGGGUGCUUCUUGGUGUCUGGGGCAGAUUACUCUGCCGGGACAAAGAUCCAGGUCAGCUGA